AGGCUGAAUUUACUCCAGUGUGGAGGAAGACCACGGCGACUCUUCCGGAAAAUUAGCACCAGCUGAGUGCCGUACACGCUGUUCCACAUGAAGGUGGCUAACAGGAAGAACUGCAGCAGAGCCACCACCGCCGAGCACGAGCCUUGGUCCGGCUCCACGUGCUCAUCAGACCCUGGGAUAACGUUGGUCUGACUGUUGACCUGCACCUGAGCGUUGUUCUGUGUGCUUGAGUUUCCAACGCCAGAGAGGAAGGUGAUGAUGAAGGCCAGCAGGCUGAGAGAGCAGCGAAGUUGGUGGUGUGGUUGCAGAAACAUCUCAGGACUCCGUCUGAAGCGUUCCCUUUAGAGCAGCCGUCAGUGCUCCAGUCCUGCAGACUGUAGUCCCAGAAGACACAGGCGAAGUCGUACAGAGACGUCCCAUUCAUCAUCUGAGACAGCAGCAGAUACAACAUCUCAUCUCCACGUGUUGCGGCACCACGCUGCGCUCCUGACCUCUAACGCUGGCCGACAGGACCCUGAUGGUGGCCCGUCCCCUUCUAUACCGCCUCGACCUGAAGAAACGGUCGUUCUGGUAGAGGACGAAAC